UCCUCGUUAGUAUAGUGGACAGUAUCUCCGCCUGUCACGCGGAAGACCGGGGUUCGAUUCACCGACGGGGAG